CUUUCCACAUGUCUGAGUUAUUUACUGCACUUGAACCAGUUUGGUUGAGGAUGAAUCUCCAGUCGUCAGCCUAACCUCYCCCUCCUGAUCCCUCCAUGGAUUCUUCGAAGAUUCAAGCUCCAAAAAUGAUUAUAGACCAACACUGACUGUCCUACUCAGAGACUGAAGACUGUSUGAUGCAGUAGAGGAGCAUGUUGGUGUCUCCAGCCAAACGUUACGAACAGAACAACAAYCUGAAGACAAUCUGUUAGAGAGUGGACAUCUCUCUGGUGGAGUCAGAGAGGAACUGUCUCUUAUCAACAGAAACAGAAACUGGAUAAGAAAUGAUGGAUCUGAHUAUCAGGUUGGUCUGUUAUGUACUGUAAUAUCCAGUCAUCUACCUGUUAGAAAAUGUACUCUAUCAUAUUACAUGAACUGCAUGCAUUGAUACAGGCUUUACUUUCUCCACCUUGUGGAA